GUGCUUGCUUUGGCAACACAUGUACUAAAAUUGGAAUGAUACAGAGAAAAUUAGUAUGACCCCUAUGCAAGGAUGAUAUACCAAUUCAUGAAGCAUUCUAUUAAAAAAAAUUCUU
ensembl:snRNA U6 U6 spliceosomal RNA